UCAUUGUAUAUUUUAAUAAAAAUAUUAAUUUUGGAGAUUAAAGAUAAUAAUUUAUUUAUUUAUAUUGAA
rnacentral:tRNA from 1 species